GAUGAACGCUGGCGGCGUGCCUAAUACAUGCAAGUCGAGCGAACAGACGAGGAGCUUGCUCCUCUGACGUUAGCGGCGGACGGGUGAGUAACACGUGGAUAACCUACCUAUAAGACUGGGAUAACUUCGGGAAACCGGAGCUAAUACCGGAUAAUAUAUUGAACCGCAUGGUUCAAUAGUGAAAGACGGUUUUGCUGUCACUUAUAGAUUGAUCCGCGCCGCAUUAGCUAGUUGGUAAGGUAACGGCUUACCAAGGCAACGAUGCGUAGCCGACCUGAGAGGGUGAUCGGCCACACUGGAACUGAGACACGGUCCAGACUCCUACGGGAGGCAGCAGUAGGGAAUCUUCCGCAAUGGGCGAAAGCCUGACGGAGCAACGCCGCGUGAGUGAUGAAGGUCUUCGGAUCGUAAAACUCUGUUAUUGGGGAAGAACAAAUGUGUAAGUAACUAUGCACGUCUUGACGGUACCUAAUCAGAAAGCCACGGCUAACUACGUG
rnacentral:rRNA from 1 species